AGUGUGUUGGCAGAAUAGUGCAAUUGACUUAGGAUCAAUUUAUGGGAUCAAACCACACACUA
rnacentral:tRNA from 1 species